GUUGUUAAUUGUCUUGAAUUAAUGGAUUUGGAAUCUGUGUAUAUAAUGGUUGAGUGGGUAUUGUUAACGUGAUUGGGAUUUGGAAAGGAAGUUGUUGGUUUGGAUGAAAUUGUUAUCAGUGGAUAAUGAUCUGGGAAAGUCGAAACCUUGUGUACUAUUUGUUUUAGAGUACGAGGUUAACCAUUGAAGUUGGUUAUAGGAAACAAUAAAUUUUUCCUUGGUUGAAAUUUUUUAGUGGGUGUCCAUAGUAGUUAAAAUGAAUUGCAUGCUUACUGUUGGUAUUGGUGGGUUGCAAUUGGUUCAUGUACUUUGAGAUUGAUUAAGCUUAUCAGUGGACUAACGCACCAGAUUGUGAUUCUAGAAUAUGUUGGUUUCCAAUUAAACUUGUUUACCAUUCAUGAUGGGUAUUGGAUACAAGUUUCUAAGUAUAUACCCACACCCAUAGUGAAUUUGAUUAUGAUUUCUCCACUGUGGUGGAAUCAGUGAAUAGUUGGGUAAUAUAGUUGCCAAGAAAAUGGUCAAGGUGAUAUAGUUGGUGUCCAUAGUAAUUCAGGUGUGAUUGCUAUGCGCUAUGAAUUUUGUUUGGAAUUUUCAGUCAAAGAGUUGUGGAAAAAUGAUUGGGUGUACUUAGCAAAAAAAUUAUGGAUUAUGACUUAUGAGUAAAGUAUCGUCGUUCGGAAAUAGUAGUCGGAUUUGCUUGGAUCUGUUGAGUGUUAUUUAAUUUUGGAUUUUCGUAACACUCGAAAAUAUUGUCGGAUUUAGGGACUCCAGUUACCCAGAUUAUGAAACGUGGUGGUGUUGGCCUAGGAAAGCAAAUGGAGUCGAAGCUGCAAUAUUCCAGGUAGGGUGACUCGGGACUCUCUCGGUUAUGAUUUUUCUUCUAUAUAAAUAAUAUCGCAUGGCUAUGAUUAUUUCUCUAUGAAUUUAAAGGAUUUGAUAUUUUAUCGCCAUGCUUGUUUUCAAUGCUUUUCUAUAUUGUGUGAUGACCUGAGAGUGAGCGGAGCAUAGCGACUACCUUGGGUUUCGAUCCCCUAAACCUCCGGAGGGGCUGUAUGGACGGUAUGGUGUCCUACAUCCUGUGAGGUGUGACACCAUUUCUAGGUGAUACGGCGUAAAUGGACACUCUCGCUACUCCUUACCGUGUAUGUUGGUAAUCUUGGUAAGGGUGUAGUUGGCAUAGUGACCGGUCAUCAGUUUUGGAUGCAGGUACUGUGCACGUGAACGGGACAAUAUUGGAAUAGCUGGGUGGGCCAAACAAGUUAUUUUAUGUAUAACUUAUUUGUAAUAUUUUUCAAGUUCCGAUUUCUUGCACUUUUAAAUGUAAUUCAAUCGUACUUUACUUUGGUUGUUUGGUACUUUGUCUUUAUUACAACUUGUUUUCGUUGAAAAGUUUUUCGACUUAAAA